ACAUGGGCUCUGCCAGCUCUAUGCUUCCCCAGCCAGGAGCUUUGUCCCUGCCACGGCUGCCCCCACGCACCCGCUCUGCCAUGCAGCCCGUGCUGAUCCCCUGGCCUACAGGACCCCCUCUCCUUCCCCCCUGCUGGAUGCUGCUCCCCAAACCCCUCUGCUCCCCCUGUGUCUGAGGCACAUCUGCCUCUUGUCCCUGGACCCCCUGGUGCCCUACAUGUCCGCCCAAGUCAUGUCCCCACAGGUGUUGUCUUCUGCACGCAGCCUUUCCCUGCCUGGCUGCCCCAAACUUUUCCCUACCAGCCCAGCCCACCAGGAGCUUUGCUCCACUCCAGCAUGCUUGCGGGGCUUAGCCCCUCCUGCUGUUCUCCCAGCCCUGUAUCCUAAUGCUACUUGAGCCUAUUCCAAUUCAAUAGAGCAUUGCUCCCUCCAUGGCCCUUCAAAGUCAUCUAGUCCUGCCUCUUUCUCCCAACACCUCCUUAUUCUCUGUGUCUGUCCAUGCUCUGCAGUUUAUCUCGCCAGAACUGGCACUGCCUGCCAAACCAGAGAAGAGCCACAGCAAUGCCCUUUGCUCCUUCCCAUUCUCGCAGACAUUCUGAUACCAUGGAAGAUAUUGAGGCAGACCAUCCCUGUUUGCUGUACCUCGCAUUGCAGCAGUGUGCUCAGAGGUGGAGGAGACUCGGGGCAUGGAGGGGAAGGGGCCCAGCCUGGUGUCAACAACACUAAGAGGCUUAGCCAGCAUCAUGAACGCCUUCUGUGACUGCAGACCUGAGAAACGAAUCUGGGUGUUAAAAGCCAUGGGAUUGCAGGGCUGGCUCACCCCUGCCUGCCUGCUCAUCAGGAGAGGUGGCUGCCUCGCACCAGAGAGCAGUUUCUAAUGAGCUGUUGGGUAAAUGCCCCUUCGAGAUGUGUGCCAGGGGCCCAGUUCUGAUACGUGCCCAGGGGAAGCUCUAGCCAGCAUGACCAGCACUGCUCCUUCUGCCUUGUGCCUGUGCAUGCAGUGCUGAGCCCUGCUGGAGCUGAGGCCUUCUGGCCAGGAAGGGCCUUCUAUUAAUCCUCUCAGAUUUAUAGAAAAACACUUCCAAAGUUAGAGGAUGAGUCUGAGGAUUUUUAGGCUGAUUUGGCUUUUGUGCAAGAGGCUAAAUAUGGCAAGUCAGAUAAAAUCAGCUGCAGCCCCGGAGAGAGCAUCUCGUGCUUCCCGUCCAGCAUCCCUGUGAGCAUUUGGAGGAAGGCCUGGGGGCUGUGCUGUGGCGAGUCCCUCAAAGAGCACACUGGAGGAGUCAUUUGGCUGUUUGAAUUUGUGUCUGCAGCUCCACGGGUUUCCUGAGCCUGGAGGGCAGAGGGAGGGAGGUGAAAAGAGAGAGGUGGCUGAUUUAUAGCUUACCAUCUUCUCUGAUCUUGAUUGCCCUUUGUCUUGGGAGUCUCUCUUAUCCAGACAUGGAGAUGGGAGGAGGGGAUCUGUUUCAGAGAUUGCUGAACUCUGGGUGUUUGCCGUUUCCUGGAGAUCUUUUGAUGUUCCCUUUGCUUUAAAACAUUUCCAAUGUUAAGUUUCUCAGUCUCCUCCUGCACCUCGACUCUCGACAUCGGAGCACGAUCCAUCACAACUUACCCAAACAAUCUCCAGCAAGGCGAGACCUCCCCAUGUCUGGGGCCAGCGAGGCAAUCUGUCCCCACAGGGCUAGGCUGCAGGGCUUCCAAGGCACUGCUCUGCACCUUGUCCCAUGCCAAUGCGCAGCUGUAGGCCACCUGGAUCUGAAAUGAACCUCAUCCUUCAACCCAGGUGACAAAUUCCUGACAUCUCUGUCACUCAUCUGGGACAGGGAUGCCUAGCAAACAAAAGCCACCACUAAGCAAAAGACUUAUGAUGGAGAUCUUGGUUUUCUCAUAACCCAUAGAGCAAGUGAUGGACUCUUGAUUAGGUUCCCCAUUGAAGGAUGAUGAGCUGUGCCUUCAGCAAGCACAACACCUUGCAGGGGCUGUCUUUCAUGGAGCAGAAAGCAUGAGAGUGAAAUAACGACUGGACUGUGUUUUCAGGUGUGUUUGGCUCCCUUUGCUGGGCAGUGAUGUGGGUAUCCUCAGGGUGCUGCUCUCUGCAGACACACCUGAGCAGAAGAUGCAGGAUGCUGGGGAGGACUGGUGCUGCCGCAGCACUGCAAGGUGUUAGGAAGGCAGGCGUGUGUGGACUGAGGUCUGCGUCUUGCCUUUCUCCAAGGCAGCCCAGCACAAUGAUUUCUACAGGAAGAAAACCAGCUCUCUGAGUGAGGUAUCACCAGGGCUAUGCACUUAAGUGAUUCCUAUAGAUACUGCUAAAAGUCAAGAGCUCAGCUCACUAGGGGAAGAAGUGCUCUUCCUCAGGCACACCAGACCCUUCUGAUCCGAAUCUCUACCAGGCUGUGAAAGGUCUUUAGCUCAGAGACUAUCCUCAUUCAGUCUGGUAUGUCCAGCUUGUCAGCUCUGGUAGUGGACAUGGGGUCUGAUAAAAGCCCAUCAAACAGUCCUUUCCUGUAAAUCCUUUCAUAGCACUGACAGUUAAUAAAAUUGAUUUCAUGUAACUGCUGCCA
ensembl:lncRNA